rnacentral:rRNA from 1 species
UGGCUCUCGCAUCGAUGAAGAACGCAGCGAAAUGCGAUAAGUAAUGUGAAUUGCAGAAUUCAGUGAAUCAUCGAAUCUUUGAACGCACCUUGCGCUCCUUGGUAUUCCGAGGAGCAUGCCUGUUUGAGUGUCAUUAAAUUCUCAACCUUCCAGCUUUUUAUAAGCUUGGUUAGGCUUGGAUGUGGGGGUUGUGGGCUUCAUUAAUGAGGUCAGCUCUCCUUAAAUGCAUUAGCGGAACUUUUGUGGACCGUCUAUUGGUGUGAUAAUUAUCUACGCCGUGGAUGUGAAGCAGAUUUAUGAAGUUCAGCUUCUAACCGUCCAUUGACUUGGACAUUUUUGACAAUUUGACCUCAAAUCAGGUAGGACUACCCGCUGAACUUAAGCAUAUCAAUAAGCGGAGGAAAAGAAACUAACAAGGAUUCCCCCAGUAACUGCGAGUGAAGCGGGAAAAGCUCAAAUUUAAAA